rnacentral:rRNA from 1 species
GACGAACGCUGGCGGCGUGCUUAACACAUGCAAGUCGAACGGAAAGGCCCUGCUUUUGUGGGGUGCUCGAGUGGCGAACGGGUGAGUAACACGUGAGUAACCUGCCCUUGACUUUGGGAUAACUUCAGGAAACUGGGGCUAAUACCGGAUAGGAGCUCCUGCUGCAUGGUGGGGGUUGGAAAGUUUCGGCGGUUGGGGAUGGACUCGCGGCUUAUCAGCUUGUUGGUGGGGUAGUGGCUUACCAAGGCUUUGACGGGUAGCCGGCCUGAGAGGGUGACCGGCCACAUUGGGACUGAGAUACGGCCCAGACUCCUACGGGAGGCAACAGUGGGGAAUAUUGCACAAUGGGCGGAAGCCGGAUGCAGCAACGCCGCGUGCGGGAUGACGGCCUUCGGGUGGUAAACCGCUUUCGCCUGUGACGAAGCGUGAGUGACGGUAAUGGGUAAAGAAGCACCGGCUAACUACGU